rnacentral:lncRNA from 1 species
AUAGAUUGAUAAAUAAAGCUCAGUAUUUCAUCAUGAUAGAUAAUCUGUACGUAAACCCUGUAAUUUAUUUCAUACAUAUUGCAACGCAUGGACUCUUCUGCUAAAACGUCAACUUUUAUUACAGCUGGCAUUUGUACUAGUACUCUAAUAAACUCACAUAAGCGUAUUAAUCUCGGGCACGGAUCGGUUCCAUUUCACAGUCGUAUCCAUCAUCACCCCGCUG